AUUGAACGCUGGCGGCAGGCCUAACACAUGCAAGUCGAGCGGAUGAAGGGAGCUUGCUCCUGGAUUCAGCGGCGGACGGGUGAGUAAUGCCUAGGAAUCUGCCUGGUAGUGGGGGAUAACGUCCGGAAACGGGCGCUAAUACCGCAUACGUCCUGAGGGAGAAAGUGGGGGAUCUUCGGACCUCGCGCUAUCAGAUGAGCCUAGGUCGGAUUAGCUAGUUGGUGGGGUAAAGGCCUACCAAGGCGACGAUCCGUAACUGGUCUGAGAGGAUGAUCAGUCGCACUGGAACUGAGACACGGUCCAGACUCCUACGGGAGGCAGCAGUGGGGAAUAUUGGACAAUGGGCGAAAGCCUGAUCCAGCCAUGCCGCGUGUGUGAAGAAGGUCUUCGGAUUGUAAAGCACUUUAAGUUGGGAGGAAGGGCAGUAAGUUAAUACCUUGCUGUUUUGACGUUACCAACAGAAUAAGCACCGGCUAACUUCGUG
rnacentral:rRNA from 1 species